rnacentral:tRNA from 8 species
GCGGAAGUGGAGGAAUUGGUAGACGCACCAGAUUUAGGUUCUGGCGCCGCAAGGUGUGAGAGUUCAAGUCUCUCUUUCCGCACCA